CCGUAGGAGUCUAGACGAAGUCUUCCAGCGACCGGAGUCGGAGACGAGAUCUGGCUCCCGUAGGAGUCCGGGUGAAGUCUACCUGCAAUUAAAGUCAUGAGCGAAAUCCGGCUCCCUUAGGAGUCCGGACAAAGUUUACCAGCAGUUGAGGUCGGGGACGGAGCCCGGCUCCCGUAGGAGUCCGGGCGAAUCCUUCCAGCAGUUGAGGUCGAGGACGAAGUCCGGCUCCCGUAGGAGUCC
rnacentral:lncRNA from 1 species